GCCCGGCUAGCGCAAUGGUAGCGCGUAAGACUUCUACUUUCUCUCCUUCCAAUCUCUCCCAAGUUUGGAUUCAAAGCGAUCUUAAGGCUGUGGGUUCGAGUCCCACGUCGGGCU